UGAAAACCCGUUACUUUUCGCAGACAGCUGAGUGGCGGUGCACGGAGGAGGAGAGUUCGCGCUCGCUUGUUUAGAUGAUGACUUUUGUUUUCGACAUGAAGCUCAGAUUUCAGGAUUUCUAUUUCUGUGCACCCGAAGAUCCAGAAGCAUUAAAAAAUGAGGGAAAAGAAAGGCUAGACUAGAAUACGACACAUGAGAGCUGUCUACCUGAAGGGAAGAAAGCCUAAGGGGAAAGGCUUGUAUACAAGUUACAGGUGCAGAACACCAAUUCGAUCGAACCCCGAUCAAAAUCUCAGUGUUCUUAUCAGUGAUUAAAUGUUCUUAUCCACCCGACCACUGGUGGGUCUCAUGCUCAUAAGAAACAGUAUAUUUACAAGUUGGAAUGAUUUGAGAAACGUUUGAUUGAAUAAAAUUCAAGACACAAUAAAAAAUAAAUGCAAAAUUAAAAAUGAAAACGCUUUAUAAAAAUGUGCAGGAUGAUUUUAUAUGUAAAGCAUAUUUUUUAUUUCCUUGGUGGACUCAUUAUGAAGUUUCUUAAAUAAAAGUUUUUUUCUUUUAGUGGAAUAGUGGCUCUGAACACGGGCACUCACUGUUCGACAAUACAUGUAUAAAUAUAGACAGACAAAGAUAAUCAGCUAAUAAAUUAUUUGACUGAUAUAAACUCAUCAUUCAGAUCUUUAAAAGUGUUCAGAUAGUAAAAAAAUGGUACCUUAUGCUUUUACUUAAUUAUUUAUGACGUAAUGAGAAAUCUUUGUAUGAGA